GACAGAGGCCUCGAGCGUUAGGCGGAAUCACUGGGCUUAAAGCGUGUGUAGGCGGACCUCUAAGUACCUUGUGAAAUCCCACGGCUCAACUGUGGAACUGCUUGGUAUACUGCUGGUCUUGAGGCAUCUAGAGGCGACUGGAACAAACGGUGGAGCGGUGAAAUGCGUAGAUAUCGUUUGGAACGCCCAUGGUGAAAACAGGUUGCUGGGGAUGUACUGACGCUGAGACACGAAAGCCAGGGGAGCAAACGGG
rnacentral:rRNA from 1 species